rnacentral:rRNA from 1 species
UUUACGGAGAGUUUGAUCCUGGCUCAGGAUGAACGCUGGCGGCGUGCUUAACACAUGCAAGUCGAACGGUGAAAGCGGAGCUUGCUCUGCUGGAUCAGUGGCGAACGGGUGAGUAACACGUGAGCAAUCUGCCCCUGACUCUGGGAUAAGCGCUGGAAACGGCGUCUAAUACUGGAUACGAGCUGCGAAGGCAUCUUCAGCAGCUGGAAAGAAAUUCGGUCAGGGAUGAGCUCGCGGCCUAUCAGCUUGUUGGUGAGGUAACGGCUCACCAAGGCGUCGACG